ACGUAGGGAGCAAGCGUUGUCCGGAUUCACUGGGCGUAAAGAGCACGUAGGCGGUUAAUUAAGUCAGGUGUGAAAGUUUUCGGCUCAACCGGAAAAGUGCACUUGAAACUGAAUAACUUGAGUAUCGGAGAGGUAAGCGGAAUUCCUAGUGUAGCGGUGAAAUGCGUAGAGAUUAGGAAGAACACCGGUGGCGAAGGCGGCUUACUGGACGAUAACUGACGCUGAGGUGCGAAAGCGUGGGGAGCGAACAG
rnacentral:rRNA from 1 species